CAAUAGCGUAUAUCUAAGUUGCUGCAGUUAAAAAGCUCGUAGUUGGAUUUCGGGUGGGAACGGCCGGUCCGCCGUUUCGGUGUGCACUUGCUACGCCCACCUUGCUGCCGGGGACGUGCUCUUGAGUUCACGCUCGGGACACGGAGUCGGCGAGGUUACUUUGAGUAAAUUAGAGUGUUCAAAGCAGGCCUACGCUCUGAAUACAUUAGCAUGGAAUAACACGAUAGGACUCUGGCCUAUCUUGUUGGUCUGUGGGACCGGAGUAAUGAUUAAGAGGGACAGUCGGGGGCAUUCGUAUUUCAUUGUCAGAGGUGAAAUUCUUGGAUUUAUGAAAGACGAACUACUGCGAAAGCAUUUGCCAAGGAUGUUUUCAUUAA
rnacentral:rRNA from 1 species